CUUGACCUCACCGCGGUGUGACAACAAUGCUAACUUGUUCAUGUCCAGGUGGUGCAGAUGGUGUGACGGGAUCAAACACUGUGCAGGGGCUGAUGGGACUGGAGGCAGACGGUACACCCUGGCCGGGCAUCGGCUACGGCAAGCACACCACAUAUGGCUGAGACACUCUGGUUCAUUUAGUCUGCCAGCUGACUUUACAAGGAGCAAUGACAGAACGCCAAGCUGUUAAUUCUACCCAGACGACAAUGGGUGCGACCUGCUUUCCCCGAUUUGUCAAGUGGACGCCACAGA